GCUCAGUAACACGUGGAUAACCUACCCUUAGGACUGGGAUAACCCUGGGAAACUGGGGCUAAUACUGGAUAGAUGAUUUUUCCUGGAAUGGUUUUUUGUUUAAAUGUUUUUUCGCCUAAGGAUGGGUCUGCGGCAGAUUAGGUAGUUGGUUAGGUAAUGGCUUACCAAGCCGUUGAUCGGUACGGGUUGUGAGAGCAAGAGCCCGGAGAUGGAACCUGAGACAAGGUUCCAGGCCCUACGGGGUGCAGCAGGCGCGAAACCUCCGCAAUGUGAGAAAUCGCGACGGGGGGAUCCCAAGUGCCAUUCUUAACGGGAUGGCUUUUCAUUAGUGUAAAGAGCUUUUGGAAUAAGAGCUGGGCAAGACCGGUGCCAGCCGCCGCGGUAACACCGGCAGCUCUAGUGGUAGCAAUUUUUAUUGGGCCUAAAGCGUCCGUAGCCGGUUUGAUAAGUCACUGGUGAAAUCCUGUAGCUUAACUGUGGGAAUUGCUGGUGAUACUGUUGAACUUGAGGUCGGGAGAGGUUAGCGGUACUCCCAGGGUAGAGGUGAAAUUCUGUAAUCCUGGGAGGACCACCUGUGGCGAAGGCGGCUAACUGGAACGAACCUGACGGUGAGGGACGAAAGCUAGGGGCGCGAACCGGAUUAGAUACCCGGGUAGUCCUAGCCGUAAACGAUGCGGACUUGGUGUUGGGAUGGCUUUGAGCCGCUCCGGUGCCGAAGGGAAGCUGUUAAGUCCGCCGCCUGGGAAGUACGGUCGCAGGACUGAAACUUAAAGGAAUUGGCGGGGGAGCAC
rnacentral:rRNA from 1 species